rnacentral:lncRNA from 1 species
GUUCAAAUUCACGCCGUCAUGCAAGGUCUUGACUCCUUUCCACCACUGGUAAAGGGUAAAAAAAAAUUCUUUCAUUUGUUUCAUAUUAUUCUUUCAUAGUGUUCCACGAGUUUCAUGACAUCGGUUUAUUAAUUUUUCAAUAUUUUUUUAAAUCUAAAUAUUUUUGGUUUAAAAGGUUCAUAAAAUUAAAUUAGGAUAGUCUACAUAAUUGUUUUUUUUUAAGUUACUUUAAGAAAAAAUUAUCCUAAAUUCAUUCUUUGAUAAUCUCAGGCUAAAAAUUUAACCUAAAAAGGUUGGAGUAGAAAAACUGUUUCUGAGUUAAAAUCUAAAUUUUGUGGGUGAAAAAAAUUCCCUAAUGGUCUUACAUUCUAUGACCUCAAAUUCAGAAUUUGACACCAACAAAAUUUUCAUUUUUGAAGUCCAAAAUAAAAUGAAAACUCAAAACUUAAAACAAUUACCAAACAACCACUUAGUACUAGGUCUAGUGGUAUUCUUCUUCAUUGUAAGCGAGGGAUCUUAGGUUCGAUUCUCGUCAAAGGUGAAUUUGAACCACAUUCUCAUCAAAUGUGUAGAUAAUAUCUUUUGUUCUAAAUAUGUUUCUUGAAACAAUUAGCCAAACUUUCUAUCCGUUUUCAGUUUUAAUUGAAACAAUUACCAAAUUUGUUUCUUGUUUUCCAAUUUUUUUACUUAUCAAAUGAGCCGUAACACUAUCAUAUUGGUAAAAUAAUAAAUUUACUUAUCAAUUCAUAUGAUUUUUAUUAGUCUAUUCCAGUCCAUGUUAACACUACACGUAUAUUUAGCUGGAACAUAAUAAUAAUGCAAUCAUAUCCACAGAACUUUUUACAUUAAUCGCUAACAAGUUAACUUAUACACUCCAACAAACAUAGUACAAGGAAUAGAAAAAUACCCUAAUGCAUCUAUCAACUACUGAAAUAAAACGUAGGCUGAAAGAGUAUAAACCUCUAACAAAACAACACACCAGUGUACUUUGUGCUAGACACUACGACUUUAAGAUAAUAUCAAACCAAGAGAAAUCAAAUGUUAUUUGGUCAAAACUAGUGUUUGACACUACGACUUUAAGAUAAUAUCAAACCCCACACGAUACUUAUGAUUUAUCAACACUCGUCUCCCAAAAACUUUAAAAGUUUGAAGAAGAAUGCGAUCGAAGUGCUAAGAAGAAUGAGUUGCUUGUACUAGAAAGAGCCUAGAAGUGAAUAUAGUCGAAGAAAAGCUAUCAUAAACUACAUAUAGAAUGGAAUGCAUACAACCAAAGGGUUUCUAAAGCCUACCCCUAUUUAUGAAGUGAUAAACACUUCAAUAAAUGAAAGUUUUUAAUUUAUAUGCCAUAUUCAUUUUAAUGAGGGUAUAGGAGACGAAGUUUCAACAUUUUUUUGGCCUCUUAGCGGAGGUAUGUUUAACAAUCACAUGUGUGGAGAGCAAGUUACCAAAUACAAUUAAGAAUCCUUCUAUAAUUCAAGGAAAUUAUUAAGAAAAAUAGAUCAAAUGUUCAAACCAAUCACACAAUUGAUUGUUUUAUCAGUUACAACAUCUAAAGGUAGACUCAAGUAACGUGCAAUCACCUGCAAAUUUAUAUGUAUCAAGUACAUUGGAAUAUUUUGUGUCUGUACAAAUUUGAACUUCAAAUUUACAACUCGUUUUAUAUUCAUUCUUCAUCAAUUGAUGUAUAAAUUUUGAUGUGGGUUUGGAGUAGAUUAAGGAUUUUGAUUUUGGUUAGUAUUGAAAUCGUUAUAACUUCUUGUACAAAAAAAAACAAAAAACAAAACUACUUAGAGCAUCUCCAAAACGAGAAUGUCAUUUAUAGCCAAAAUUUAACUUUUAAAUUUAAAAAUGCCAGUUUUUAUAAAAACUAACAAUUAUAGCCAAAAUCUCACGUAAAUUUACCGAAGUACUCUCAACAUAAAACAACCAAACACCAAAGAGAUUUUCUUCAUGUUCUUUCUUCUUUGGUCUUUUUCAUUUUAAUGGUUUAAUUAUUUUCAUAUCCCAAUUUGAAUCAGAAAAUAUAGAAAUAGGAGCAUGAUGAAAUUAAACAUUUUAUGAAGAGGUAUUUCUUCGGAUGAAAAUUAAAUUUAUCAAAUUAUCAAUUUCAUUUCUUAAUUUACAAGCCUACAAUAAGAUAAUGAUGAAAAAUUCACAUAACAACAACUUUUAAACAUUCUUGUGUGAUAAUUAAUUGGUAUUUCUUAGAAAAUUUUGUUAUCUAUUUAUGCAUAUUUUUUUAAAUAGUCUUCUUUAAGUAUUCAUUUGGAUGGAAAUUGCGAUUAGGGUUGGACACGAGUCGGGUCGGGCCUAAUUUUGAAGGGAUUGGACCAGAUCUGAGUUUAAAAGAAAUGGGCCAGGACGGAUACAAUAACUUUUAAUACAUAAAUCGAACCUAAU